AACAAGUGUGACCUCCCUUAAACCCUUUGCAUAGUAGCUUAAUUCCCAUCCUUUCUCCACCUAAUCUCCACUUAAACUCCUUAUCAUUAGCUCACUUAGUUAUAAAGCAAUCAAAACAAAGAAGAGAGUGUUAAGAGAAGGAGUAUAACCGAGACAUACAAGAGAGAGUGAAAGUCAAGUUCUUGAAUUAACACAUGCCUCCUUCCUCUCUUCCUCAAGACUUUGGUUUUCCUUCCCAUUAGACACACUAAUUUCAUAAGCUAUCUCAUGUCAAGAACAGCAUAACAAAGAGGAGAAAGAUUAGAAAGAGUGACCGAAGAGAGUGAGUAAGAAAGAGCACAAUACCUUCAUCAUUCCUUCAAGCUUCACAUCCUCAUCUUCUUAGGGGUUAAAGUAGCUGAGUUCUUCUCUUCAUAUUCAUCACAAACCAGCAUCCUAAUCCAUCCUAUCUUCCAAGAUCAUCCAUCCAGCCGAGAGUCCAAGCUCAAGGAGGGAUAUCUUAGCUGAAAGAAAGAGCUAAGGGAAGGAUUUCAAGGAAAGCUUGUAACACGGGUAAAGGUUAGGAACAUUAGGUGCUUGGUUGUUGUGUUUAAUGAUGAUGCAUGACUGACUUUGAUGAUGAAUUAUGUAUGUGAAAUGAUAAAUGAUUGAUAGUGGUGCUGUGUAUAUGAUUCUAUUUUGAGAAAAUGUGAAUUGCUAUAUUGCUGUUUUUGAGUUUAAGUGAUAAACUCUCUGGGUGAAAAAAGUGAUUUAAUGAGAUAGUAAUUAUCUUGGAUCUUGGGGCUUAUAAACAAGUUUAUAUACACAAUAUACACGUGUUAGAGUGAUUAAUUAGAUAAAAUAAGGGCUAGAAGCUUAAAGUGAAUCUCAAAGUGAGUUAGGAGACUGGGGCAGAUUCUGCAGAAUCAGUGGCAGCAAGAGCAGUAACUUCUCGAGGUUGCUGCUCUCUCUCUAGACCUCCAAAAUUCGUGAAACUAAAUUUCAAUAAAACUUUGAUAUGUCUAUUUCUUUUCAACCAAAUUUAAUAAUUUCGUUAUUUGUCGAUUGAAAGUUAUAAAGGUUUAGAUUUUGUCCCUCAAAGCUAUCAAACCAGAUUUUUAAUUUUAAAAUAUAAACUUCCAAUCUGCAUAACGUUAAUUCUAAAAUGCUUUUGAGUUACUUUCAAAGUCUAAUAGAAGCUAGAUAUGUCUAGAGUGAUGGAUUGAAUUUUUAGAGUCAUAUAGUUUGUAGAUCAAAAGUUAUGAGGUUUGCAAACUGAUGAGCUCUCUGACUUGGCUAUACAAAAUUCUGCAGAACGUGUGUCAAAGCCAGCAACUUGUUCAAUUUACUGGUAUUGAUCCAGAAGUCAAAUUGGUGUACAACCAAUUGGGGGUAAAACUUUAGGGUGUCUAGUUUGUUCCAUCAAAAGCGCAUAAUUUUUAGAAUUAUACAUUGGGAGUUAUGGAUUUUACAAAAUUGCUGCUCACUGUUGGCUAAACAGAAUUUCUAAAUUUAGAGCAGUGAAUUCCUAGAUGCAUAACUUCCAACCCAGAAGGACUUUUGAGGUGAGAUCAAAACCAAACGAAGGAUUAGCUUGUCUAGUUAAUCAAAUCUAAAUUUCAGAUCCAUAGACGUAUUAGAGAAUUAGUUAUGCACUCUGGAAGUUAACCGGGUCACUGGUUAACCAAACAGAAACUUUUAAAAACAGAAUCUGCAUUACUUUUCCUCCUGAAAUGGGAUUGCUCUGAAACUUGAACCAAAUGAAACUUAGGAGAGUCUAGUAUAAUUAUAACAAAUUUGAGAGAUUUUAGAUUAGAAACAGAUUUUUCAUGAUUUUCCAAAGUCUACUGCUAUUUGCUGUUUUUCCAGAAGUUACCGAAAAGGGCAGUCGAACUUUGAAAAUUUAUAAAAAAAUUAAAUUCUUAAUACGAAAAGGGUUGCGUGAUGAACUCUCUGUUUCACGAUGAAGAGGGUUGGAGGGGUUGGGUGCACAGUGAAGAAGGUUGGAAGUGCAACGAAGAGGGUUGGGAAAAUAAAGCUCUGUGUUAGGGUUUUGUCAGUAGUUAGUUUAGUGAAUAGAGAAGAGUGAAUAAUAGUGAAGUAUUUUUCUCAGUAGUUUUACAUAACUCUAUUGGCAUACUUUAAAACAUCAUCGUAAUGUAAUUCUAUUGGCAUGCUUUAAAAGCGUGCCUGUUGUUCUCUAUGGCUACGUUUAAUAAGCGUGAUAUCAAAAGUAGUGUCUAAUUUUUAAUUAAUCACCACCUUUAUAAAAGUGUGGCCAUUGACCUCUUUAGACCAUCCUUUUGAAAUGUGACAAGAAAAAACGUAGUCAAAUCUCUAACUUAUUGAUUUUAUACUAACAUGAUUGAACUUAGUUAACUUGGAUGUAUAACAUUAUUCGGUUUUUAAUUAACCAAUAUGAGUAGAAAUUUUACAUCCUUAUAUUACCCCCCGUAAGAAAACCGAGUGCCAAUAGAAUUACGUUACAGUGAUGUUUUAAAAUUCGGUCAUAACGUUUUUUAUUGAAGCGUGGCUUAAAAAUAUCAAUGGGCACGCUUUUGAAAUGUGACUUUUUUCAUUACUUUUAAAAAACGUACCCAUUUCCUACAUGUUCAGAAACUCUAAUUACCCUUUACCGUCACCCCCUCUCCUCUCAGGCUCUCACUCUUCUCAUCUCUUCACUCAACUCAUUCAACCAUAACACAACCCUAACAACGCCACUCACUGUCUCCCUCUCUCAACCCGUCGCAUCCCCUCCCUCCAACCCGUCGCAGCACCUCCAUCCAAUCCUCCCUCAUCGGUCAUCCCUUGUGCCGCCGUCUCCCUCUCCAUCAGUCAUCGCGUUGCCAUCUCCCUCUCUAAAGUCGUAGCGCCUCUGUUUCCCUCUCUCAACUCUGUGUUCUUGGUCGCCAGUCUUUGCCUCUUUCGCGUGUCUCGCCAUCCUCUGCGUGUGGCUGUGCUGAAGCUCCAAACUCCGAAGCUUUUGCCUCUACUUUAUUAGGUUUGUUUAUCUUCCUCCAUUAGUAUUUCCAGUUUUAGAUACAUUGAUGCUAAUUGGUUUAGAUAAAUUGAUAAUGAUGAAUUUAGAUGACUGUUGGUGAUUCUUGCUUAUUAGAUAAAUUGAUAAAUUGUGAUUGUAGUGCUCAGACUCAGUCCCUCUCCUUUCUCCUCCUUAGUCCUACAGUCGUCGCAGCCCCAACUGCCUUGACUCCAGGGACGGACCGAGGCUUACACUGUGUUUGGAUCAAUAGAAACGAGAAGGAAAGAAAAUGCACGGAAGGAAAAUUGAUGGAAAAUGAAGUUUUCCUCUGAUUGGAUGAGCAUAGAAAAUGGAUGGAAAAGGAAAACAAUGGUGUGGAGCCCACAUUGAAGUUUUCUUUCCACACCUGCAAAGAAAACCACCGAAGUUCUAAAAUAAAGAUAAAAUUACUAAUAUGCCCAUUAUUAAAAUGCAAAGCAAAAUUUAUAACAUUUAAUUGAAAAUAAAAAGGGAUCAAUUUAAAAAAAAUAUUAUUGUUAACAAUGAUAAUACAUUAAAAUUUUAA
rnacentral:lncRNA from 1 species